UCUCUCAAUGGCUAACUCAAGGGUGUUUUUCUGAUUUGAAGUCCGGUAGGUGUUCAUCGGUUGUGGAGGCGAGUCUGCUGUGGUACUGGGAGGCUAGGAACGUCAAGCCUGGUGAAUCUGAAACUAUUAUUUAGCAUUGAGAUCGAUUUCCAGUCAAUUAGCAUUGGUUCUGUAUUUUUGUGUUUUGUCCCCCUUUUAUAUAUAAAGAUGGACUGUUAUUUAUUAAAGUAGGUGUUACGGUUGGCAUCAAGUGCCACACUGGAUUUACGAAGAUAUCAAAAUGGAUCAAAGCUGUCCUUCAUUGAGCUUCAGUUAAUUUAUUUGUUUAUAAUUUCCAUUCUUAUGCUUUUUGCGUUACUGUUGAUUUCUUAUAACUGGAUCUGGAUUGUUAUUGAUUUUGCAGAAUCUUCCAACUCUGUGCUAGAAGAUACAGUUUUGGAUGUUCUCAAAAUUCUUAUUUGGUAAGGAAUCCAACAAUCAAUAUGGUCUUUUUGAUUUCUAUGGGCUCUUCGUAUAUGUAGUUUCAUGAUGUCUUAAAGUAAAUAUUACUUUUUCUGUAUAGGUAAAAAACCAUCUGAUUCUCAUACAUUGCAAAGCCGGAAACGUAAUAUACUCCUUAUUGCUUUUCAUCUCUUGAGAACCAACAGAAGAAUUUGGAGAAGAAGAUUGUGACCGAGAUCUUACCGGCAAAGAAAUUCCACAAAGCUGAAGAAUACCAUCAGCAUUACCUCUCCAAAGGUGGGAAGAGUGGCCAUGCACAAUCCCCUUCAAAGAGCUGUAAGGACCCUAUCAGCUGC
rnacentral:lncRNA from 1 species